AGCCUGAUGGAGCGACGCUGCGUGUAGGAUGACGGCCUGAGGGUUGUAAACUUCUUUUCUCGAAGAAGAAUCAAUGAAGGUUUUCGAGGAAGAAGCAUCGGCUAACUCUGUGCCAACAGCCGCGGUAAGACCGAGGAUGCAAGUGUUAUUCGGAUUGAUUGGGCGUAAAGCGUCUGUAUUACGGUUUAGAAAGUCUUUUGUGAAAUACUUCAUCUCAACUGGGGCUCCGCAAAAGAAACUUCUAGACUUGAGGGAAGUAGAGGUACAGGGAAUUUCCGGUGGAGCGGUGAAAUGCGUAGAUAUCGGAAGGAACACCAAUAUGGCGAAGGCACUGUACUGGGCUUUACCUGACGCCCCCAGACCAAAGCUAAAGGAGUGAUUACGAUUACAUACCCUACUAAUUUUAGCCGAAAACCAUGGAAACUCACUGCCAAGCCGGUAUUCGGAGCGGUGGUCAAGCUAACGCGUGAAGUUUCCCACCUGGGGAUUACGCAUGCAAAUGUGAAACUCA
rnacentral:rRNA from 1 species